ensembl:lncRNA
ACAAUCCAACACAACACUGGAACUCUUUCAAGUCCAGUAGGUCCCAACCAGAGCCAAGGAGAGCCAACCAGAGCCAAGGAGAGCCAACCAGAGCCAAGGAGAGCCAACCAGAGCCAAGGCUCGUAUGGACGCUCACCAGAUGGAUUCUCUUUGCCAUCCUGCAAGCCUGCACUGUGGCUGCUUCAAGGUGGAGAAGGGAGAUAAAUGCAUAGCGACCCCAAGCCCUGUAACCCCUCACUCCGAAGUUGAAUUGCCCUUAAUAACCGCUGGUCCAGAGUCAGAUAUUCUUCUGUCCCAAUAAGAUUAAGGGUUUGGAUUGGGGUUAGGAUAAUCUGAUCCUAGAUCUGUGGUUCGAGGAAACUUCUCAAGUUCUUCCUCCACUGGACCAGGAAAGAACCAGAACUUUGGCCUUGAAUGACCUUUGACCUCCUAUGUUAUAUGAAUAGUCAGCACAAGCUGGGCAAAGUACCGCCACGGUUUGCUCUAUUGUUUACCAGAUCAAUGGCACACUGAUAGUAACUAGUAACUACUAACAAUUGGAUACCACGAAAUUGGGCUAGAAAAGGGGGUAAUAUAAAAAAUAAAAGAAAUUCAGGAGAGGACUUCCCGCUGUGCAGUUUCCGUGCGUUUUCGCACUCUGAAAAGAUGUCUAGGAGCAAUGCAACGUUACAGCAACCUCUAUCACGAUGACAUUCAAAUCCUCACUGCUACCAGGGCUUUGUUCUACACUGCAGAAUUCAAAGUAGCUCAAGUCAUAAGAUAUGACUGCUACCAUUGACGUUCCAAGCUUUGUCCCUUUUGUUCGCGGGCACAAGUAUAUAAAGUAUGUAGCCCUGUGUCAUGUGG